AACGUAGGACGCAAACGUUAUCCGGAAUUACUGGGCGUAAAGGGCGCGCAGGCGGUGGUUUAAGUCAGGCAUGAAAGCUCUCAGGCUAAACCGGGAGAGGCUGUCUGAAACUGGACGACUGGAGUACGUUAGAGGGAUGUAGAAUUCCGCGUGUAGUGGUGAAAUGCGUAGAGAUGCGGAGGAAUACCAGAGGCGAAGGCGGCAUCCUGGGACGUAACUGACGCUGAGGCGCGAAAGCAUGGGGAGCGAACGGG
rnacentral:misc_RNA from 1 species